UACGUAGGGGGCAAGCGUUGUCCGGAAUCAUUGGGCGUAAAGCGCGUGUAGGCGGCCAGAAAAGUCCGCUGUGAAAACUCGAGGCUCAACUUCGAGCUGUCGGUGGAAACUUCCUGGCUAGAGUCCGGAAGAGGAGAAUGGAAUUCCUGGUGUAGCGGUGAAAUGCGCAGAUAUCAGGAAGAACACCCGUGGCGAAGGCGGUUCUCUGGGACGGUACUGACGCUGAGACGCGAAAGCGUGGGGAGCGAACAGG
rnacentral:rRNA from 1 species